AUUAACACUUUCACUACUGAUUUUAUUUUUUCCGCGGGUUUCUGUGGCCGAGGCAAAUUUGCACGCUCAGAUUCCCCAGCCUGAAUUAAUUUCGUGACCGGUGCUUCAAGAAAAGUUGCAAAUUGAAAAACGUGCUGUAACUCGAGAACGCAGUCUCAGAUCGCCUAAACAACUGAUACAGAAGUUCAAAAGGUUGCUCUGUAAAAGAUUUUCCUAGUGAAUUAAAAUUAAAACAAAAAAUAAUGUCUUUACAAUGCUUGAAAGAUCGAUUUUUGUUACCUUUUUAGCUCAAUGUUGCCAAAAUGUCGACAUUCGGAUGUACUUUUUUACGUUAAAAAUGUGUUUAAACGGAUAUAAUUCAGCAAAUCAUUAUAACCGAGUCUUCUUAUUUAUCUUAUCACUCGUUUUUUGUCAUUUAAACAUCGUUUAUAGCAAAACCGAAGCUUUUUAUCUCUCCUAAAUUAACCGUUUGACUUUUCGUUUCCGACCGCCAUUUGUAUUGAUGAAAAGACAACUCUGUCAAUCGACGAACGACUACUCGUUUUCAAAGUGAUAGAUCAUGAUACGAUCAUAUACUCAUAUACGGAUACCACGGAUACGUUGUUGAUAUUGUAAACACUGGUAUUAAAGAGUGUUAUUAAACAAACAAGAUAUGUUUGUUGUUUCAUUUUCCCUGGUAAACAUAACAAUACUUUAUAAAAAAAAAAAAAAAAAAAAAAAAAAUCUGCUAAAAAAAAUUAUUUUGGUUCAAUCAGACAUAUACGUCUCUGGUUCAAUUAGUCCAUGCUGCCUAUUUUAGAAGAAUAAAAAAGCAGAAUAUAGUUGGUCAUGAUUAUCUUUUAUAAGUAGAUAAACAAAAUGGAUUAAUUAUUUACCAGGGUCAACCA
rnacentral:lncRNA from 1 species